rnacentral:rRNA from 1 species
AGAGUUUGAUCCUGGCUCAGGAUGAACGCUGGCGGCGUGCCUAACACAUGCAAGUCGAACGGGCGCGGCGUGCGGCAGGGGCCUCGGCCCCUGCGGCGCCGCGCGAGUGGCGGACGGGUGAGUAACGCGUGGGCAACCUGCCCUGUACUGGGGGAUAACACCUGGAAACAGGUGCUAAUACCGCAUAAGCGCGCAGUGCCGCAUGGCGCGGCGCGGAAAACCCCGGUGGUACAGGAUGGGCCCGCGUCUGAUUAGCUUGUUGGCAGGGUAACGGCCUACCAAGGCGACGAUCAGUUGCCGGCCUGAGAGGGUGGACGGCCACACUGGGACUGAGACACGGCCCAAACUCCUACGGGAGGCAGCAGUGGGGAAUAUUGCACAAUGGGGGAAACCCUGAUGCAGCGACGCCGCGUGGGUGAAGAAGUACUUCGGUACGUAAAGCCCUAUCAGCAGGGAAGAAAAUGACUGUACCUGAUUAAGAAGCCCCGGCUAACUACGUGCCAGCAGCCGCGGUAAUACGUAGGGGGCAAGCGUUAUCCGGAUUUACUGGGUGUAAAGGGAGCGUAGACGGCAUUGCAAGUCCGGAGUGAAAGCCCACGGCCCAACCGUGGGACUGCACUGGAAACUGCCGGGCUGGAGUGUCGGAGGGGCAGGCGGAAUUCCCUAGUGUAGCGGUGAAAUGGGUAGAUAUUAGGAGGAACCCCGGUGGGCGAAGCGGGCCUGCUUGGACGACGACUGACGCUGAAGCUCGAAAGCGUGGGGAGCAAACAGGAUUAGAUACCUUGGUAGUCCACCGCCGUAAACGAUGAUUACCAGGUGUCGGCGGCCACGCCCCGCCGGUGCCGCGCAAACGCAGUAAGUAUUCCGCCUGGGGAGUACGUUCGCAAGAAUGAAACUCAAAGGAAUUGACGGGGACCCGCACAAGCGGUGGAGCAUGUGGUUUAAUUUGAAGCAACGCGAAGAACCUUACCAGGCCUUGACAUCCUGAUGGCCGGGCAUGCAAUGUGCCCUCCCUUCGGGGCAUCAGUGACAGGUGGUGCAUGGUUGUCGUCAGCUCGUGUCGUGAGAUGUUGGGUUAAGUCCCGCAACGAGCGCAACCCCUGUCCACAGUAGCCAGCGCCACGGGCGGGCACUCUGUGGAGACUGCCGGGGACAACCCGGAGGAAGGCGGGGACGACGUCAAAUCAUCAUGCCCCUUAUGGCCUGGGCUACACACGUGCUACAAUGGCGCAGACAGAGGGAUGCGAUGCCGCGAGGCGGAGCGGACCCCAGAAAUGGCGCCCCAGUUCGGACUGCAGCCUGCAACCCGGCUGCACGAAGCCGGAAUCGCUAGUAAUCGCGGAUCAGAAUGCCGCGGUGAAUACGUUCCCGGGUCUUGCACUCACCGCCCGUCA